rnacentral:pre_miRNA from 1 species
ACGUACUUCUUUGUAUUGCCAUACGGAUGUGCUGUAGCUAUGGAAUGUAAAGAAGUAUGUAC